ensembl:lncRNA
GGCAUAUGGAGGUUCCCAGGCUACAGGUCAAAUCAGAGCUGUAGCCACUGGCCUAUGCCAGAGCCACAGCAAUGCCAGAUCCGAGCCAUGUCUGUGACCUACACCACAGCUCACAGCAAUGCCAGAUCCUUAACCCAAUGAGUAACGCCAGGGAUCAAACCGGCAACCUCAUGGUUCCUAGCUGGAUUCCUUCCUGCUGCGCCACAACGGGAACUCCAACUAGGGCCAUUUUAAAAGCCCCAAUCCACAUCUAUUUGAAUUCUAGAGUCACUCACUAGAAUUCUAGUGUCACUCCCUCUCUGCAGGUGCUCAGCCUCCACAUCUAGAGCCUUCAGCAAGUUAAAGAAAUCAAAACACUAUCAAAACCAAGCCUGUUUGUUUAACUAUAAAAUGGUACACCACAGGUGUUAAAAAACGAACAAAACCUCAAACAAUAAGGCAAAAAAAUCCUUAAAAGCAGAUCUCAUAAAAAAUACAAAAUAAUAUUUUAAAAAUUACUGUUCAAGUACAUUAAUGCUCAACCAAGAAAAUAAAAAUAAAGGAAAAUUAUCAGAGAUUGAUAUCUGAAAACAUUAAUUAUUCAAAAAUUUAGAGACACUACACUUCUAGAGAUAAACUGAAAGGCUUUUUCAACUUAUACAUAGAAUAAAAAUACCAAAGAACCAAGUACAUAUUAAAUAUUGCCUAAAUCUGCUCAGACUGCCAUAACAAAAUACCAUAGACUGGUGGCUUAAAAGAGAAAUUUAUUUUCUCACCAUUCUAGAGGCUGGACAGUCCAACAUCAGGGUCCCGCAGGAUUUGGUUUCUGUCCACAGCAAAUACUAAAAUAACACAUACAUAGUCAAAUGAACCUUGCUAAGCCCAGAACAGAGUGGAAAGUGGCUGAAAAGCACAAUCUCAUAUAUCAAUACUCCAAUGCAUUUAAGUUUAACAGUUAAAUUUAUCAAGAUUUCUUAAGACUUGUUUUAUUUUCACAGGAAAAAAAAAAAAUCUGAAAGGUACUAUGAGAUGGAAAGCAGAUCUUAACUGUUUCCUAGCACAUUUGUUUCAACAUAUAAAUAUGUUCAAAAUUCUUUUGCAGUCUUAAACCAAAAAGCAUUUCUUCAUAGAUAACUCUGUUGACUAGAUAAUAUUCCCUUUUCUUCACAGCCUUCACUUUCUUAGCCCUACUCAGUUCUAAAGGGACUGCAAGUUGGCUUAUUCUUCUAAAAUGUAAUUGAAAUGUUCCUGCAUUCAACGACUUGUAUAAAGUCACAAAGGUAUAAAAUAGUUGAUCCAAGACUGAUGUAAACUUUCUCAUUCAAAAUCCAGUUCUGCUGAAAGAACACCACAGUUGUCCAAGGAACCAUAAGAUGCAUAUGUUAGGGAACUUUACUACAGGUAUAAAUGGCUGAAUACUAUAAAAAAAAAUUCAAAGGAAAUGUUCUGAAGUCUCAAAGAAAACUAGUAAAUGAAACAAUGACAAAGAAACAGAAAUAAACUAAAAUAAGUAGGAAAAAUCAAUGAGUUUUUCCCAUCUAAUAUGUGGUUACCACACAAGGGAAUCUUAAAAAUGAAGGUCACAUGUUAUGUGGUAUCAGUAACACAAGGUUUAUAUGUUAAAACUAAGAAAAUGCACUUGAUACUUUAGGCAUAAGAAGCCAAGAAAAGAUAUUAAAAAGCCAAAUGAUAUAAUUAAAAUAGUCCUUAAGAAAGAUAAAGCUGGCAGCAGUGAUGAAGUGAAGUCAAUCAAAGGACAGCUGAUGGAGAUGGGGGCAAAAGGAUAAUGCAGGAAUGCAGCGAAGUGUCAAUGAAAACAGCCAAAGACAAUGGGUUCAGAAUAACAUUUCAAAGGGAAGAUGAUAAAGACUUGGUGACUGAACAGAAAAGCCAAAAUACAAGAAAACCCCUGGAACAUUCUAUAUAUCUGGAUUUCUGGAUAAUUAGCUUACACUCUAUUAAGUACCAAAAAAAUUUUUUAACCUACUCUGGAUAAAAGGCAAUUUAUUUAAAUUGUAAUUAAAAAUCAUAUUUUUAAUAAAAUUGUGCUGUAACUAUAAAGUAGGCUAGAAGAGUAAGGCUUAUUGAUAUUUGCUAUCACUCAGGGCUGCAGGAAUAAUCUGGUGUAAUGUAAAGACACUUGUUGAAAGAUUUCACUCUUAACUCUGCAAUGGGCUGUUUCAGUUCCCUCUCCAGAUCUGUAUCUUUAUCUGUAAAAUCAAGAUAAGAAUAUCUGCCUCAUUUAACUGAAUCAGGUUAUUGUGAAGAUUUAAAAGUAUAAGCCACACACACACACAAAAGGAGUUUCCGUCGUGGUGCAGUGGAAAGGAAUCCAACUAGCAACCAUGAGGUUGCGGGUUUGAUCCCUGGCCUUGCUCAGUGGGUUAACAAUCCGGCGUUGCUGUGAGCUGUGGUGUGGGUAGCAGACACGGCUCGGAUCUGGCAUUGCUGUGGCUCUGGCAUCAGCCAGCAGCAAAAGCUCUGAUUAAACCCCUAGCCUGGGAACCUCCAGUGGGUGGGGACCUAUAAAGACACAAGACAAAUAAAUAAAUAAAUGUAUAAGCGAAAAAGUACUGAAGAAAAGGCAAAGGGAUAAAAUAAUUUAGUAUUAUUUUGAUGCCUCGGAAUCAACAUUACAAAUGUUAGUACUGCACUGAAUUUAAUAUAUGACGGCCUUGAGAUAUGCCUAGGUGGGUAGAAGUUCUAGACUGCUAUGUGUCUUCAGUUUUUAUGUGGUUUUUACUUAUUUCUACUGUCCUUCCCUACUCUGCCUACCCCCUCAAGACCAAUCCACCCAGAUGUGUGAUAGAGCUUCCUACAGUAUGGUUCCUAUUCUUGGCAAAAGUCUAUCAGAUAUGGUAGUUCUGACUCCUAUAGAAGAGAUGGAUAUUGUUAAAUAGAAAGUUUUGAAUAUCUCCAAAGUAUUACUGUUAUUCAAACCACUGACUUCUUUUUACAUAAUUAGAUUAAUUUCUUGUGAAUUCUCUCUAGUCUUGAUUUCAGCACAGACACACUGAGACCUCAGGCUCAUUCACAAACAUUCCUCAAAAAGGUUAAGGUUGGUUCCUUUAAAAUUCUUUUUCUGAGAGCAAGGUUUCUAAAAUGACUUCCAGUGCAAUGGGUUCAAGGAUCUAAGCGUGAAGUACCUCUAAACCUCUUCAAUGUACUAAGUAUCAAAGAGAUAAUAGAAAGAGACCAGAAGGAGAAAAAAAAACCAAACAUAACUGUCAGUCUGGUUUCUGGGAGAGCAAAGUAAGACCUAGUUUGCUGGGAAUGAGCACUCAAUAGGUAUAAGUGACACAGAAAAGUUUCUUCCUUCAUAGAAAUAGAAGAUAAAGCCGAGGACAAUCAUUUCACUCCCCUUGUGGGCCUCUAAGAAGCCUGAGCACUUGCUUAACCUAAUGAAAACCAUCAAACCACACUGAUGGAAAGGCAGAGAAAUAGGAAACAAAGGAGUAAGUCAGCUCAUCCCUCAUCCAUAUUAAUAGUAGUAAUAAUGAGAAUUGCUAUCUUUUUUCUAGCACCCCAAAGUAAGAAGCACUGCUAGAUUCUUUACACAUAUAAUGUAAAGAACCUAUCAAACCUCAACAAGCCUGCAAAAAAAGUCAUUAUUAGCUAUCCAAAUAUUAUAAAUAAAAAAGGGGGCUCAGCAAAGUUCAGUAGCUUUCCCCAUGGUCAGACAGCGAGUCAAUGCUAAGUCAGGAUUUUGACUGUAAAUUAGCACACUGUGCCUUCUCUGUCACUUCCCUUGCUCUGUCAGUUAAAACAGAGAAGUCAGCAAACAUCAGACCUUACUUUCUUUCUGAAAGCUUCUGAUACCAUCCUGCCCUGAGACGUGCUAUGGAAAUACAAUCAGCUCAAAUAUUAAUCAACUUUAACGACUAUAUCCUCUGUGUUUCAUACUAUUACCUGCUAAUACAGUUCAGAAUUAUUCUUAUUGGACAUACUUCUCUACAUUUCAGAUUUAUCUCUCCAUUUAUUUUAGUUAAGCAAAAAUCUACUAGGUUCAUCAGACUGCUUGACUUUGUAAAUGGAAUUUUCAUUUACAUAGUUAAGUUAUCAGGAAAUAGCUUUCUUUGUUCAAAGACCGAAAAUUACCAAGAAUUUUUAUGUUUAGUAAUAAAUCCUCUAUUUACUGUAAGAACAACUCCUUCAAAAGCAUGAUCCAAAUGCAAACAUGUAAAAUAUCUUCUUUCUUUUCUACUAAAGGACUAGUCUGUGUUUGUAUAGUUGAUCAGAAAAUCCUGUUAUUAGAACUCUGAAGACCAAAAAACCCAUAAAUUAGGUUAACAUACCUUUAAAAUGCCAAAAAUCAGAAUUCAUAUAGUUUCUCACACAGAAGCAGACUUUAAAAUAAUUUGAGGUUAUCUGAUUUCAUGUAUAUGAGUCUGAAUCAUUCAUGUAUGAUAGGUAAAUGUACCUGUAGUUAAAAUUAUAUUGUUUUAAAUUAUAUCCUUGCUUUACGUUUCUAAGUUUUAUAGAGUUUUAUGUCCUGUAAAAUCAUCUAUAUUAACCUUUGACAGGUUUAUACUGCUAAACGAGAUUUGUACCUGAGCAAUCUACUUGGAAUAAAAAUAUGGAUGUCACUGUUUUUUAAUCAUAUCUUCUUUUCUCUUUAGCAAGUUCCACAAAUACCCUUAUCUUUUGGUGAUAUAGAAAAUCUUACACCAAUUAUACUACCUAAACCAUUUUAAUUUUUUGAAAAUAGUUUAACAUCUACUCCAAUCUUCACUCACAAUAACAACAACAAAUGCUCAAAUCAAAUUCUUUUUAUACCAAAUGCAAAACAAGGUCUAUGACACAUGUCUAAGUCUUUAUUUACAUGCCUUUUCCUUUUUUAGUUUAUAAGCAGACCAAGGUGAGCAAACUUUUCUGUCAAGGGCCAGAUACUUUAGGCUAGGCAGGACACAGGGUCUUUGUUGCAACGACUCUACUUGCAGCUGUAAUGUAAGAAUAGCCAUAGAAGACACAUAAAUGAAUGGGUGUGGCUGCACUUACAGGCACCAUAAUGGAUUUGGCCCAUGGCAGUAGUUUAUUGACCUCUGUGCUAAGGAAACAGGAGAAACUGUGUCACAGUAAUCACCUGGAGGUUUUUUAAUAUUCAGCCUGACAAAAGUUUAUAACUAUACCGCUUCACUACUAAAUAAAAUUAAUUCUGACCCAGAGAGUACUAAAAGGAAUAGGCCACCAAAGUUAGAUUCUACUUUUUAAGAUAGCCACACAUUUUUAAAAAGCAUAUUCCCAGAUAAACAAGGUCCCACUCUAAACUCUGGCUAGGCUUUCUAAAUUCUCUGCUACCUCCUCCCUCUUUCACGUUAUUUCUUGAACUCACCCCAAUUCCAAUGGACAUAAAAAAAAGUUUUUUUUGACCCAGGAAUGUCAAGGUAGCCCCACUUCCUCCGCAUAAAAAAGUGAUUUCAAUUUCCCCUACUUCUGCUUCUGACUUUAUUUCCAAUGCCCUUCCUUGCUACCUCCCACUGUAUAAACUGGACAAGUUAAAUGCUCACUUCCUCAGCCUCCCUUGCAGGUUAGCAUGCCAUGUGAUAAAUUUCAGGACAAUAAGUAUCUCAUGAAAGGCUGCUGAGGGGCGGGGCAGGGAGAAAUGCCAUGAGAAAGAUCUUUCUUUAAAAAAAAUAAGAGGGAGGGAGUUCCUGUUGUGCCACAGAGGAAACGAAUCCCACUAGUAUCCAUGAGGAUACGGGUCGAUCCCUGGCUUCGAUCAGUGAGUCAGGGAUUCAGCACUGCCAUGAGUUGUGGUGUAGGUUGCAGAUGUGGCUUAGAUCUGGUAUUGCCGUGACUGUGGUAUAGGCCAGCAGCUGCACCUAGCCUGGGAACCUCCACAUGAAGCAAGUUCGGCCCCAAAAAGCAAAAAACGUAUUAAAAAAAAAAAAAA